rnacentral:tRNA from 1 species
CAGCCCGUGGCUCAAUGGUAGAGCGUUCGACUCAAAUACCAAAGGUCGCGGGUUC